rnacentral:rRNA from 1 species
UACGUAGGGUGCGAGCGUUGUCCGGAAUUAUUGGGCGUAAAGGGCUCGUAGGCGGUCUGUUACGUCGGGAGUGAAAACUCGGGGCUCAACCCCGAGCCUGCUUCCGAUACGGGCAGACUAGAGGUAUGCAGGGGAGAAUGGAAUUCCUGGUGUAGCGGUGAAAUGCGCAGAUAUCAGGAGGAACACCGGUGGCGAAGGCGGCAUCCUGGACCAACACUGACACUGAGGAGCGAAAGCCAGGGGAGCAAACGGG